GCCGGAGUAGCUCAGGGGUAGAGCAGCUCAUUCGUAAUGAGCGGGUCGCCGGUUCGAAUCCGGCCUUCGGCUCCA
rnacentral:tRNA from 1 species